CAGCAGCCGCGGGAAUACGAAGGGGGCUAGCGUUGCUCGGAAUGACUGGGCGUAAAGGGCGCGUAGGCGGCGGCCAAAGUCAGGCGUGAAAUUCCCGGGCUCAACCUGGGGGCUGCGUUUGAUACUUGGUUGCUUGAGUGGGGAAGAGGGUCGUGGAAUUCCCAGUGUAGAGGUGAAAUUCGUAGAUAUUGGGAAGAACACCGGUGGCGAAGGCGGCGACCUGGUCCUUUACUGACGCUGAGGCGCGAAAGCGUGGGGAGCAAACAGGAUUAGAUACCCCCGUAGUCCCUGUCUCUUAUAC
rnacentral:rRNA from 1 species